CCUGAGAAUCCAAAAGAGGUGAAAAAGCCGCUCUGUGUGCUGCUUUUCUCCGUCCUUAUCCUGUGCUACAGUAGAGAACGGGCAAAAAGCAGGCGGCUCUCGUUCUCAUCGGAGAUUCCGCCUGGUCCCCUCGUCCCUGACGACUCCGGCAGGUCGCCGGCGUUGGGGGACGGGGGGAUCCGACCUUCUUCGAGUGAGUAUGUAUAGAGUAGGUUUCCUAGCUCUUUUGGUUUGCUCGCCGGCAUGUGUGGCGGCGGAGCUCAGUUGUGCGACGGCGGCGUUCGUGCUGCUGGGGUCGCAAAUAAGUGUCUCUCCUUCCUUCUUCGACGGCGGUGACAGGUUCGGCAACGCUGUCGGCGAUGGUUGGGCGAGGUCUUCCUGGCGCGUCUCUGGUGGUGGUGGAGGUCUCUACACCAUAUCUGACGACGCGCGAAGGUGGGUUUCUCCCCCUGCUGUUGGCGAUGCUUCUGGCGUCACCGGGGGUGGGGAUGAAAGCUUUUGUUCCUCUCCUUUUCUCUGGUGGCGAUGGUGGUGUCGGUCCCGGAGAUGAAGGAUUGAGACUCCUGUUCCGAUCACUGGUGUCUUCAUCGGUGAAGGCGGAUUGCUUGCUGUUCUUCCUCGACCUCGACAAGGAUGGCCGAUGUGCUUGGGAGGCCAUUUACUCGGCUUCGGUGCCUAGCAGUAAGUCCCCCUCUGCGGUCUCUUCCACAAGCUGGAGGUCUCGUCAGGUGUCUUGGGCGAGCUGCUUGCUUGGACACUGUGUUUCUUCCCCAACUCUGGCGGAUUCGGAAGAGGUGCGAUGUCCAGGAACCUUGUGUGAAGAUCCAAGGACUUCAUUUUCAAAUUUGAAUGUUUUGAGGGUCUUGUACGCAAAGUUGCACCUUUGGAGGAUGGAGAUUACAGACUUUAUUGUAAAUUUCUUUUCCUUCAGAGUGCUAGUUGUAAAAGCUCUGCUUUUAUAAAGUGGGAUCCGCCCCUUCGCAAAAAAAAAAGAGAAUGAAAAAGAGGAUGUCUGUGAUUUUUUUCGAUCCA